UGGUUAGAGAGGCCAUUCAAGAGGCUUGCUGGCAGAUAAAUCUACAGAAAAGGAAAGCAGAUUCAUGUUUGCCUGGUGCUGAGGUGUUGGGGGAAACAAGGAGUACUGCUAAUUGAACAAGAGGGAAGGAUCGUGUCAACUUGGAUCUGCCCACAGCUCCCUUCACCUUGGAAGACAAACAGGCCAGAGACAGGAGACACGGGGAUCCAGAUUUAUACGUGUGAAGCUGCAUUCUGUGAGUGGGGCCUCUUGAUCCACCUGGUAUUUCAGACUACAGUAAAGGCUCACGUAUAUCUUUUUACCAGAAACAGUUCAAUGACUCUUCCCAGUAUUGAAUAAAUAUUUCUUUCUAAUCUCCCGGCUUGGUCAGAUAUAAAAUUCAUUAACGUUUAGCAUCCCCUUGACUGUCUGUAUUAAACUAAGUACCAGUCGU